rnacentral:rRNA from 1 species
CCUACGGGGGGCAGCAGUCGAGAAUCAUGCACAAUGGGGGAAACCCUGAUGGGGCGACGCCGCGUGGGGGAAUGAAGGUCUUCGGAUUGUAAACCCCUGUCAUGUGGGAGCAAAUUAAAAAGAUAGUACCACAUGAGGAAGAGACGGCUAACUCGGUGCCAGCAGCCGCGGUAAUACAGAGGUCUCAAGCGUUGUUCGGAAUCACUGGGCGUAAAGCGUGCGUAGGCUGUUUCGUAAGUCGUGUGUGAAAGGCGCGGGCUCAACCCGCGGAAGGCACAUGAUACUGCGAGACUAGAGUAAUGGAGGGGGAACCGGAAUUCUCGGUGUAGCAGUGAAAUGCGUAGAGAUCGAGAGGAACACUCGUGGCGAAGGCAGGUUCCUGGACAUUAACUGACGCUGAGGCACGAAGGCCAGGGGAGCGAAAGGGAUUAGAUACCCUUGUAGUC